GAUGAACGCUGGCGGCGUGCCUAAUACAUGCAAGUCGAGCGAACAGACGAGGAGCUUGCUCCUCUGACGUUAGCGGCGGACGGGUGAGUAACACGUGGAUAACCUACCUAUAAGACUGGGAUAACUUCGGGAAACCGGAGCUAAUACCGGAUAAUAUAUUGAACCGCAUGGUUCAAUAGUGAAAGACGGUUUUGCUGUCACUUAUAGAUGGAUCCGCGCCGCAUUAGCUAGUUGGUAAGGUAACGGCUUACCAAGGCAACGAUGCGUAGCCGACCUGAGAGGGUGAUCGGCCACCCUGGAACUGAGACACGGUCCAGACUCCUACGGGAGGCAGCAGUAGGGAAUCUUCCGCAAUGGGCGAAAGCCUGACGGAGCAACGCCGCGUGUGUGAUGAAGGUCUUCGGAUCGUAAAACUCUGUUAUUAGGGAAGAACAAAUGUGUAAGUAACUAUGCACGUCUUGACGGUACCUAAUCAGAAAGCCACGGCUAACUACGUG
rnacentral:rRNA from 1 species